GACGAACGCUGGCGGCGUGCUUAACACAUGCAAGUCGAACGGAAAGGCCCUGCUUUUGUGGGGUGCUCGAGUGGCGAACGGGUGAGUAACGCGUGAGUAACCUGCUCUUGACUUUGGGAUAACUUCAGGAAACUGGGGCUAAUACCGGAUAGGAGCUCAUGUUGCAUGGUGGGGGUUGGAAAGUUUCGGCGGUUGGGGAUGGACUCGCGGCUUAUCAGCUUGUUGGUGGGGUAGUGGCUUACCAAGGCUUUGACGGGUAGCCGGCCUGAGAGGGUGACCGGCCACAUUGGGACUGAGAUACGGCCCAGACUCCUACGGGAGGCAGCAGUGGGGAAUAUUGCACAAUGGGCGGAAGCCUGAUGCAGCAACGCCGCGUUCGGGAUGACGGCCUUCGGGUUGUAAACCGCUUUCGCCUGUGACGAAGCGUGAGUGACGGUAAUGGGUAAAGAAGCACCGGCUAACUACGUG
rnacentral:rRNA from 1 species